GACGAACCGUGCAAACGUUGUUCGGAAUCACUGGGCUUAAAGGGUGCGUAGGCGGGUCUUUAAGUCAGGGGUGAAAUCCUGGAGCUCAACUCCAGAACUGCCUUUGAUACUGAGGAUCUUGAGUUCGGGAGAGGUGAGUGGAACUGCGAGUGUAGAGGUGAAAUUCGUAGAUAUUCGCAAGAACACCAGUGGCGAAGGCGGCUCACUGGCCCGAUACUGACGCUGAGGCACGAAAGCGUGGGGAGCAAACAGG
rnacentral:rRNA from 1 species